AGAGUUUGAUCAUGGCUCAGGACGAACGCUGGCGGCAUGCUUUACACAUGCAAGUCGAACGGUAACAGGCCGCAAGGUGCUGACGAGUGGCGAACGGGUGAGUAAUGCAUCGGAACGUGCCCAGUCGUGGGGGAUAACGCAGCGAAAGCUGCGCUAAUACCGCAUACGAUCUAUGGAUGAAAGCGGGGGACCGUAAGGCCUCGCGCGAUUGGAGCGGCCGAUGUCAGAUUAGGUAGUUGGUGGGGUAAAGGCUCACCAAGCCGACGAUCUGUAGCUGGUCUGAGAGGACGACCAGCCACACUGGGACUGAGACACGGCCCAGACUCCUACGGGAGGCAGCAGUGGGGAAUUUUGGACAAUGGGCGCAAGCCUGAUCCAGCAAUGCCGCGUGCAGGAUGAAGGCCUUCGGGUUGUAAACUGCUUUUGUACGGAGCGAAAAGGCUUCCACUAAUACUGGGGGCUCAUGACGGUACCGUAAGAAUAAGCACCGGCUAACUACGUGCCAGCAGCCGCGGUAAUACGUAGGGUGCAAGCGUUAAUCGGAAUUACUGGGCGUAAAGCGUGCGCAGGCGGUCUUGUAAGACAGGUGUGAAAUCCCCGGGCUUAACCUGGGGACUGCACUUGUGACUGCAAGGCUGGAGUACGGCAGAGGGGGAUGGAAUUCCGCGUGUAGCAGUGAAAUGCGUAGAUAUGCGGAGGAACACCGAUGGCGAAGGCAAUCCCCUGGGCCUGUACUGACGCUCAUGCACGAAAGCGUGGGGAGCAAACAGGAUUAGAUACCCCGGUAGUCC
rnacentral:rRNA from 1 species